AGGCCUAUAGCCAAGCGGUAAGGCAACGGACUUUGACUCCGUCAUCGUUGGUUCAAAUCCAGCUAGGCCUGCCA
rnacentral:tRNA from 1 species